AUGGCAACAUUAUUCUCUGGAGCUGACUGCAACAGCUCUGUUGGGCUACAGCUUAUACUGCUCUGGACAAACUACCAGCACGCCUUGAAAUCCAGCCACAGGAAAGCAGCGCAUCAUCUGCAUCCUCAGAAGCAUCCUCCGCACUCCCUGGGUGCAAAGGUAACACAGAGCAUGACUCAGCCUCUCUCCCAGGAGCCACAGGAGCCGGUCUCCAUGACUUCACCACGUUGCACAAGAGAUGUGCAGGAUCCGUGGCUGCUGCUUCAGUCCCUGUCGCAGCAGAUCUGCAUCUAUUCCCAGCAUUAACAAAAACCUGGGUGCUCUGAUCUCCAGCCUAUAAACACGUACAAGCACACAAGGUGUACCAGCACACACUGCUGUGCGACUUACAGGCACCAUCCACGGCCCCAUCCCAGUGCUGCCUGGAGCUGCCCAGCUGGAGCACAGUGCAGGAGCACUGUGACUACUGCUGAGGAAUGUGGCAGGAAUGUGAGGACAACUUUCUCAUGGAUUUCUCCAGUGCAAACUGAGGCAGUGUCGUUUGUAAUUUACUGGAACCUUCUGCGUGAUUCAUGUUUAAAUUCAUUCUAUUUUUAUCAUCAAGGCCCGUGCUUCUGAUCUGUGAUAAAGAGACCUUUAAAUCACGGGGUUCUUAAGGGAUUUUUGUGGUUCCUUCACCGAUGGGAUUACAUCUUCUGUAUGGGAAGGAUUUGUCAGAAGUCGGUGCGGGAAAGCAGCCUGCUUGUUGCAGUGACUGACAGUCCCACUCUGGGAGCCAGCAAUGGGGCUGGGCGCGGGCCUCAGCCUGCUGGAGGUACCGCUGGGAAAUGUAAGGGCAGAAGGGCUCCCAAACACACUUCCUCAUCAGCCAAAGGGAUGAAGAGUGCAGUGUCCUCCCUCCCCAGCCUAUUUCCCAGCACGAUUCCUGCCCUUUUCAGAACAGGACAUCCCAUGCAAUAAUUGUGCCGUUCAGUUGCGUGGAGUGGGGGUGCGGAAACAGUUUUGGUGUGCAGUUGAGGUUGGAAAUGCGCCUCAUUGGAUUAGUGUCAUUUACCUCAGCUCCUGUUGUAAUUGCUCGCAUUGCUGGCCAGCCAUACCCAGAAGACUGAAGGAAAUUUUGAUUCUGCAUUCAAUGAUGGGGCUUAAUUGCUCUGCAAAGUACUAUGCAUUGUUACCAAUACACCAGAGUGGAUUUACCCUCACAUGCUUGCCUAUCAUAAAGAAGACUGCAUUCCAAAGGAAGCAAUCUCCUUAGCCGAGCAUAAGAAGCUUUAGGAGAUCUUUGGCUUGAAUGAAAACGCCUUCUUCUUGGAGCCAAGCCUACAUCCCUGGGAAUAAAGUCCACCAGGACUCUGUGUGAAAAUCUAACAACAGAACCGUGUCCUUUGUCUGAUCUGGAGGCUACUCUAGAUGCAGUGCUGGAAUGCUGCUCCUGCCUUACCAAAAAAAGAAAAGCAUAUCCAGAAGCUCUACUUGCCAAAUGAAAUUGCUGUUUGUUGGCAGAGAGAAAAACUGGACCACGGUUUUCUUUGUCUCCACAAAAAGUUCAGUGCUAGGACUUCAAAGGAAAAUGCCACGAGCAACACUUAGCAGCAAAAAGGCCAUCAGCAACGUCCAUCCAGUAUAAAGGCAGUGGUGCUGGCAGGCAAUGAUAGAAUGAAAUACAGUAGUUUAGUCCUCUGAUUUUAUAGCCAGGCUGUAAAAAAAAUUUCCUCCUAAGUAAGUGCUUCUUACAAGAAAUUGGGGGAGGGGGGGGGGGGAAGUGUCUGCAAAUCCCAGUGUGGCUUUUCACACUUCACAUAGCUUUGUGGUGAUGUCUUUGAGUUGACAAAAUAUUUUCAACAUUUCAAGUGCGUACCUUAUUAUACCUUACCCUUCCCCUCGGCUUCAGUGCCAUUCACAGCUCAUUAGAUUACCUUAUCAGUGUAUUUACGGGAAAUUCAAAGAAGCUGGUGCUGUGGGAUUCCCCCAGUUAUUGACUUAGGAGUUUCUAUCUUAAGAGGCUGACGUUAACUUGGACUGUAACUAAAUGUGAAUUUUUAAUUUCCUAGGGGAUUUUUUUUUGAAAGUUUGUCUGCUGAACUGAAACUGUUUACAGCUCUUGUUAUACCAAGAGUCCAGUGUGAUCUACUCAGUUACUUUCUCUUUAGCCAAUGCUAUUAGGUCAGCAGUUACUUUUGAAACUCACAGUAAAACAUUUACCUUUUGAUCUGACACUACCAUAGAAUCAAAUUCUAAUACGCUGAAAAAAAAUAUGACGCUACGGAGUUUUAUUUUUCUGCUGCUUAUAUUUCCAUUUCCAGCAGUUUCUUGGGUCAUUUACAAUGAAAUGAAUUCAUAAUUAUAUACAUUUUUUUUUUCCACAGUCUUUCUUAGUAAAUGGCAUCGCACACAUAGGACAAGUAUUUAGCUUCGUCCAAAGUCACAGUGCCUUAUAUGUACGUAGGGAAAUCCAGCUGUGAAAACAAGAUGAGAAGCUUAUAAUCUCUUGGGAAAAAUAUAAUAAAGUAUAAUACAUACAAUUCUAUUUCAAAGUCUUUUAAAUCAUCCUUAUUACUUCAAUGCCUACAGACCAAGCAAGGACGGGAUCCCAAAUUUGUUAGCUCACACCAGAAUCAACCAAGGGCUUCCAUGCCCGUGGAUGUUGAUCGCUUAUUGUGCAAGGUCACACAGACAUCAGUGCGUGGGAAAGAUUGCACAGAACUCCUCGGAAAGAGGAUUUGAGAGAAGCAAACUAGACUGUAGCACCAAGUUAGUUUGGUUUAAACUGCUGUGAAACUGCAGCAGGAGAUGUGGUUCCCCUGCUGGAAGGUGCAACUCCUGUAUCUGUGAAGAGUUUAAACCUGCCUGAAUCUUGCAGCCGAAUGAAGGGAGUACCUGGAGCUCCUGCAGUCUCACCCAUCCGCAGUGCUAGCACUGAUCAGGCAAGCUAGUCAGCCAGUCGAACUGCCUCGUCCUGGAACUAAGUGGAGCCUUCAUGACACGACGGCUAUUAGCGUAAAAGAAAAAAAAACUAUCUCCCUGAAGUGUUUGCACAAGGUCAAAGCAACACCAGCUGGAGUGGAAUAGAGGGAAGGACCGAGUACGUGACAGCACGGGAAGAAAGGCAUCGCCUGUCCCAACGGCAGCUUGCACUGUAGCGUAACGUGAUGCCUCCAAUAUCAGAGAGACGGCAGACCGACACCACCCUUCACUGUCAUUGAAAGGAGCCGCGGAGUCCUCUGCUUCUGCCCUUGGGAGCUGAGCCCGCUCACCGCUACCAACGGCACUCAGGCAGCUAAUGCAGGAGCUGCCACAGGGGACAGCCGCGUCCAAGCGCAGCAGUUGCGUGAGAAGGGGAACCGCCGCCCGCUCUCCCUGCGGCACGCGGCAGCCACAGCGCCGUUCUCAGAGGCAGCGCCGGCACUUCCCAGGGCGAGGCGGGGGGACAGAGCCUGGGCUGGCACCUGAUUUCCCCUUCCUGCAUCAGCGGCGUUCGGACCGCUACAUCUGACCCCCGGGUCACAGCCCCUGCUCACGAAGCCCUGUGUUUUAAAUAAAGUCAAUCUGUAGGUGGGCUAUUACGCUGCAGAUUCAGCUGCGCCGUGGGUACUGAGUUGGCUCCCCGGGCUUUUCCACCUCACGCCACGGCAGAGGGCGUGGCGAAGGGCUGCAGGGCGCUCACCAGGGCAGCGCUGGGAGGAGAACAACGCCGCUUAUCCCCCUCCACACGCUUCCCGCUCGCUGCUGCAGGGCUCCCUGCCCGUCGUAACUGCGCUCGCCCACCCAUGCGAGCCGACCCACA
ensembl:lncRNA